rnacentral:rRNA from 1 species
UUUAUACGUACCACAUGUUUCCUCGGGGGGCUUGCCCCCCGUUAGGACACCCCAUAAACCUUUUUGUAAUAGCAGUUAGCGUCUGAAAACUAAGUUAAUUAUUAAAACUUUCAACAAUGGAUCUCUUGGUUCUGGCAUCGAUGAAGAANCGCAGCGAAAUGCGAUAAGUAGUGUGAAUUGCAGAAUUCAGUGAAUCAUCGAAUCUUUGAACGCACAUUGCGCCCCUUGGUAUUCCAUGGGGCAUGCCUGUUCGAGCGUCAUUUGAACCCUCAAGCUUUGCUUGGUGUUGGGUGUUUGUCCCGCUCUUGCGCGUGGACUCGCCUUAAAGUCAUUGGCAGCCAUGUAAUUCGGCUUUGAGCGCAGCACAUUGCGAUCUCUCUGCUGGUACAUUGGCAUCCAGAAGCCUUUUUUUUUAAUCUUGACCUCGGAUCAGGUAGGGAUACCCGCUGAACUUAAGCAUAUC